rnacentral:lncRNA from 1 species
GGGCACUAGCUGAGGAAGGGGCCCACAGCUGGGCACAGACUGACCGUAUCUCCCCCCCUCCCCCCAGGUGGACACCCUGCUCGUGCUAAGCCCCAGCUCAGAGGCCCUCCUGGCCGGCCCUGCCCUGCGGCUGGUGCGGGAUCGUGUUGCCCCCCACUGCCUCUUCGUGAACCUCUGCCUGGAGUCCUGGGGGUGCCAGAGGAGCCCCGCAGACGAGGUGGAGCUGGCUGGGUUCAGUGAGCAGGUGCUCAGGUUCCUGGCCGUGCGCGGCACCUCCCGCCUGCUGGAGCACGUGGGCAGGAUGGACGAGAUCCACGGACUGCCCCCCCCGCUGGGGGCGCCCCGCAGGCACCCAGAGCUUUCCUGCGCCCCUCCUGCCCU